UUUUGGAAUCGACUCCCCACCACUACUCUACUGACGCAACCAAAUGCUUGAGAAACAGGACUAGGCGCGACAGGUAGCUAGCUAGUCAAGAGAAACUUAAUGUAAACAACUUAACAUGGUGACCGAGAGGUGAACGACAUAGCAACAUGGUAUUCGAAAGCGUGGUGGUAGAUGUCCUAAACAGGUUUCUGGGGGACUACGUUGUGAACCUUGACACCUCACAACUCAAGCUCGGGAUUUGGGGAGGUGAUGCUGUGCUCAGAAAUCUUGAAAUAAAGGAAAAUGCCUUGAGUCAACUUGACAUUCCUUUUAAAGUAAGAGCCGGACAUAUAGGACGUUUGGAGCUGAAGAUUCCAUGGAAGAAUCUGUACACCCAGUCAGUGGAAGCUACACUGGAUGGAGUUUACCUGCUCAUCGUGCCCACAGCCAGUAUAAAGUAUGAUGCAGAGAAGGAGGAGAAACAGCUCCAGGAGGCUCGUCAGAGGGAGCUGCAGAGGAUCGAAGAGACCAAACAGAAAGCAGCGGAACAAGAAAACCCAGCACUUGAGAAACAAGACACCUUUGUGGAGAAACUGGUGACACAGGUGAUCAAGAACCUUCAGGUGAAGAUCUCCAACAUCCACAUCCGCUAUGAGGAUGACGUCACCAAUCCCAAAUGCCCAUUAUCAUUUGGAAUGUCUCUACAGAACCUCAGCCUUCAGACCGCAGAUGAGAACUGGAAACCUUGUCUUCUGAAUGAGAAAGCCAAGCUGUUUUUCAAGCUUGUCCAGUUGGACAAUCUCUUUGCCUACUGGAAUGUGAACUCAAUGCUGUACUCCAAUCACAUGCCAGACGAGGCCCUGCGAUGCCUCCAGAACAGCAUGGAUAUCUACAGUUCCACCCCCAUGAAACACGAUUUCAUUUUUCGUCCGAUAACGGCCAAUGCGAAGCUGAGCAUGAACCCCCGGUCAGACGUAAACUUCUCUUCACCCAAGGUAGACUUGGUAGUCAACCUGAGAGAGGUAGCCGUGGAGCUGAACAGGCCACAGUAUAUCAGCAUUCUGGAGCUCCUGGGCUCGGUGGAUAUGAUGUCACGCAACCUGCCGUACAGGAAAUACCGGCCGCAAUUCCACGUGCACACCAACGCCUACAUAUGGUGGCAGUAUGUGAUUAUGGGCAUCAUGGAGGUGGACGUGAAGCCACGGCUGCACAUGUGGUCGUGGCAGCGCAUCCACCGCCACCGGCAGACAGUCAAGUGUUACAGAGCGCUCUACAAGUCCAAGAUCACCAACAAGAAGCCCACUGAGAAGCUGCUCAGGGAAGUGGAGGAGACUGAGCGGACUCUGGAUAUUUUUAACAUCACGCUGGCCAGGCAGCAAGCUGAGAUGGAGGCGAGCAAGGCGGGUCUGCGUAUCUUUCGUCCGGGGGUGAAGGUGGAGGAGGAAUCUCAGGGCUGGUUGGGCUGGAUGUGGUCCGGCUGGUCAGGAGAUGACGGCGCCAAGUCCAAGGAGGUCAAGACCGGAGCUUUUGGUGAGCUUAUGACUCCUGCCGAGAAGGCCAAACUCUACACCGCCAUUGGCUACAGUGAGGUAGCUGUCAAUCACAACCUGCCAAAGAACUUUGAGGACAUAAAGAUACAUUUUCACAUGAAGAGGAUGUCUUUCUCAAUGAAAGACAACAAGGAUCAGAAUGAAAUCCUCAAGGUCACAGUUGAAGACCUGAAAUCCAUGCUGACCCAGAGGCCCGGAGCACAAGCCAUUAAGCUGUCGGCCCAGCUUAGUCUGUUUGAGGUGAAAGGACUGGCCAAUAAUCGGCCGGCGCCCACGCUGCUGUCGUCGAGGAAGGCUGCCACGGUAACAGGGACCCCCCUGCUUGACAUCCUGUUUGAGACCAACCCUCUGGAUGAGAGUGCUGACCAGCGGCUCCACGUCGAGUCCCAGCCUCUGGAGAUCAUCUAUGACGCUGUGACGGUGAACAGCAUGUCUGCGUUCUUCUUGCCGCCUGAUGACCUCCAGCUAGACGAGCUGACCAACGCCACUCUCAUGAAGCUGGAACAGUUCCGAGACCGCACCUCCACAGGGCUGAUGUACGUGAUUGAGACCCAGAAGGUUCUGGAUCUGAACGUCAACCUCAUGGCCUCCUACGUGAUCGUGCCCCAAACCGGCUUCUACGACUCCACUCAGAACCUCAUGCUAUUGGACCUGGGUCACUUCAAGGUGUCUAGUCUGAGCAGAAAGGGGCUACCCCAGCUCUCUGUAGGGAGCAGGACUAUACAGGACAUCAUGUCCCAAGCCUACGACAGCUUCAACAUCAAGCUCAGCAGCCUACAGUUCCUCUACAGCAAACCAGACGGGGACUGGAGGAAAGCCCGUAAGCUGAAGCAAUCGGCCCUCCACAUCCUGGAGCCUGUUGAUGUCAAGGUGGUGUUCAGCAGAGCCAUGGUGGUCACAGACUCACGCAUGCCCAAGUUUAAGAUCUUCGGGGAGAUGCCUCUCUUGUCUCUGAGGAUCUCUGAUGAUAAGGUGCGGGCCGUGCUGGAGCUGAUUAACAGCAUCCCGCUGCCGGAGAGCAGGCCGGCCCCGCGCAGCACCAACACACACUCUACACCUAAGGCUCCAAAGCAGUCUUACACCCCUCAGCUAACCCCCAGGCAACCAACCAUGGCUGAACUGCGCAACUCCCUCAUAUGGGAAUCAGGCUCAGAGGAGGACCUGUUCUACGAUGCUCCCAGCUCUCCUAUAGGCGACAGUCCGUUCUUCCCCGACAACAUGCCCAGCCCCCUGCAACGCUCCGACUCGGUCAAGAGGAGAGGUCUGGUCAAGAAAGACCCCAAGAAGAACAUGACAGAGUUCCUCAUGACGUUUGAGAUCAACAAGCUGUCUGUUCAGCUGUGUCGUCUGUCUAGAGGCCAGGAGGUCACAGUGUUACACCUGGACGUCGAGCGUCUCGGCACCGAGCUAAAGAUUCGCACCUUCGACAUGACAUCUAACACCUUUCUACGCGAGAUCUGCCUAGAGUGCUCAGAGUAUAUGGAUUCAGAGGAGAAGAAAGUGCACCUGAUCACAACUCUAGACAACACAGAGGAGGACCUCCUCACAUUGGAGUACACUAAGGCUGAUAAGAACGGGCCAGAAUUCAAUUCUCAGUACAAGAACACUGAACAAACAGUAAAGGUGAACUUCUCAUCUCUGGAUGUACACCUGCACACGGAGGCUUUGCUCAACGCCAUGAACUUCCUGAACAGCCUCCUCCCCCCGACCAAGGAGGCGGUGCCUAGCAAGGAGGAGCUUCCCACAAUCGCAGAGGAGGACGAGGGAGAGGGGGAGGAGGGAGAGGGGGAGGAGGGCGAGAAGGAGGAAUCGGCCGUGGCAAAAAGAACAUCUUCUAAGAAGUCAAAGUUUGAGGACGUGGUGAAUUUGCACAUCAGAGCUGAUCUCAACUGUCUGAAGGUUUUCAUCCGAGGCCAUAGCCACAUGAUAGCAGAGAUCUGCAUUGAGGGCCUGGUGUCGGAGGUGCUGAUGAGGAGAAAGGCGGUGGAGGUUCUGGCCAACCUGAAGAACAUAGUCAUCCUGGACUGUGAUAAGGAGGCACUGUACAAGCAGUGUGUGUCCAUAGCUGAUAAGGAGGUGUUUGCUUUCCGCAUGGUGAACCACACGGACGCCACUGAGGGCGAUGCCUAUCUAGACAUGGGUAAAGUGGACACCAGCAUCACCCUGACAGUGGGCUGCAUCCAGGUCAUCUUCCUCAACAAGUUUGUCUCCUCCAUCCUGGCUUUCAUCAACAAUUUCCAGGCGGCCAAGGAGGCCCUGGCUGAGGUGACGGUGCAGGCAGCGGAAAAGGCAGCCACAGGGGUGAUGGAGCUGGCUGAGCGCAGCGUGCGCAUCUCUCUGGAUGUAGACUUCAAAGCUCCUCUUGUCUUCCUGCCGCAGUCGUCCUCCUCCACCAACGUCACUGUGGCUGACCUCGGUAUGGUCACGGUCAAGAACUGCUUUGCCUUGGUCGACUCCCAGACGCAUGUCAAGAUCCCUCCCAUCAUCGACACCAUGACCGUGGUCCUCAGUGACCUGAAGAUGUACAGAACCACCUUUGAGAAGGGGAGAUUUCAGGGGGAGAUCCAGGUUCUGAAGCCGGUCAAUCUGGACCUGUCCAUCCAGAGGAACCUGUCAGCCUCCUGGUACCACAGCAUCCCUGACAUAAAGAUCACUGCCCACCUCAAACCUAUGAAUCUGAUCCUGAGUCAGGAUGACAUGACGGUGGUGUUGAGGACUCUGGGUGAGAACAUGUCAGAGACGUCAGACGCUGCUUCCUCUCGUCCUCCUCCAUCUACAGUGGAUCACUCCGACACUGCCACUACCAAAGGCUCGCAGGGCACAGGAGGUACUGGUACUAUCUCCACCAGCGGCAACAUAGUGGUAACUGCUGCAGUGGUCGAGACCCAGAAGAGCACUAAGCUGAAGAACAUACUCAAAGUAGACUUCAAGUUUGACUCCAUGACUCUGGUCCUGUACAGCCCCAAUGGGACUGAGGUGCAGGUGUUGGACUCCAGGGAUGAUCAGCUGAUGCUGGCUGAGUUCACCUUGGGAACAAUCUCUACAUCUGUCCACAUGUUCUCAGACGGAUCCAUGAAGGCCUCCGUCAAACUCACAGACUGCCUGCUAGACGACAAGAGACGCAGAGUCAAGAAUAUCACUGCCAGGAUGAUGGCGAUUCGUCCGAGCGCUGAGAGGAACGUGAUGGUGGAGGUGAACUACAAUCAGGGGCGUGAAGGCACCUCUCUGGAGACGGUGGUGCAGGAUGUCUACCUCUGUGCCAGCAUGGAGUUCCUGCUCACCGUGGCCGACAUCUUCCUCAAGGCCAGCCAACAAGGUUUCUCCUCAGCCGCCCCCAAGAACAGCAGCACUAAACCCACAGUUACAGCCACCACAGCUUCCAAGGAACCUGCUCCAGUGGCAGUCAAGUCGGAGAUGAAUGUUCUGGUGAAGAACCCAGAGAUUGUCUUUGUGGCUGACCUGACGCGUGCCGACGCCCCAGCCCUGGUCAUGACCAUGGAGUGCGAGCUGGUGAUGAAGAGCAACCCGGAUGGUCAGCUGAUGACGGCAGUGGUCAAGGAACUGAAGGUAGUGGCCUGCCCCUUCCUGAGGGAGAAGAGGAGGAACAAGGAGACCACUGUGCUGCAGCCCUGCCAGGUGUUCUUCAAGAGCGCACAGUCCUCCACCUCCCCGCAGGCCAUGGAGGUCUCCAUCAAGGCACUGACACUCAAGGUGUCGCCCAUCAUCAUCAACACAGUGAUCACCAUCCAGUCGGUGCUGAGCCCGGCCGGUGCAGACAUUCCCCAGUCGGAGCUGGAGAGCCCCGUGCCCCCAGACCUGUGGGAGCGCCGGUCCUGGCGGGAUCUCAAGUUGUGGUUCCUGGAGGAGGAGGGUAAAGACGAGGAUGCCCAGUCCCUGGUCCGGCUGAUUCCCCAGGGUGAGUCCCUGCAGGUGGCCAUUUCCUCCAUCUGCCUGACCCUGGAGGCAGGGGUGGGCCACCGUACCGUCCCCAUGCUGCUGGCCAAGUCCUCCUUCCACGGGGAUGUCAAGAACUGGAGCACCCUCAUCAACCUGCACAGCCAGCUCAACCUGGAGGUUCACUACUUCAACGAGGUGAUGGGGGUGUGGGAGCCUCUGCUGGAGCCCCUAGAGGACGAUAUCAGAGACGGCUUCAGAUCCUGGACUCUGGGAUUAAAGAUGAAGAAGAAGCCAGUAAAAUACUCAGGUAUAUCAGAUGAAGUAGACUACAGCAUCCCAGACUACAAGACUAUCAUCAGCAUCAGCAGCAAGGACCAGCUCAACAUCACCCUCUCCAAGUGUGGACUGGGCAUGCUCAGUAACCUGGGAACGGCCUUUGCGGAGGCGGCCAAGCAGACAUCAGAGAGUUUCCAGGAGGACGAGGCGCCGUUCGUGGUGAAGAACCGUCUGGGUCUGACUGUGUCAGUGGUGUACAGUGAGAUGUUCUGCCCCCUGGGCUGUGAGGCCACAGAAAACCGUGUAGAGCUGCAGAACGGAGAGAGUGUCAACAUGGACUAUCGUCGCACCACCACCCACUCAGACCAGUUCUCUGCCAUGACCUCGCUGGUGGCCAAGGACUACUACAUACAGCCCACUCCGGCGGGCCACACUUCAGCCAGCAUGAUUCCGUUGAUUAAAGUGGGGCGUGGUAUGUACAGUGUCAUGCACAAAGUCUCUGGGGUCACCCGCUUCCUGGUCUGUCAGAUCUACUCUGUGCAGGGAAGCAAGCACAUCAAGAUCCGCUCUCCCUUCCAGAUCAUAAACCACUUUUCCAUCCCGUUCAGAGUGAUGGAGGGCUCCAUGUGUCUGGGGAUGUCAUUACCUACAGAGGAGUUCUGCGUGCCUCUCGACUCCUACAGGUCAAAGUUGAGCCUGCAGCCGGUAACCGAAGGAGACAAUCAAUAUGAUUCUUCCGAGGGCUUCAGCUACGAGUCAGUGAGUCAGCAGCCUGGCGCACGUGUACAGCAGACCUGUCAUCGACAUGGCAACAGCGCCAGCGUGCUAAUGGUCAACAUCGUACCUCUGAAAGACACAGUGACAUCACAACACACGGGAGUGGCCGGGGAGCACUUUGAUGAGCCCUACAUCCUGCACCUGUGGCCCUCCGUCCUGCUCCGGAACCUUCUACCCUACCCCAUCACCUAUCGCCUACAGGAUAGUGAAGAGCCCGCCCCCAUCACAUUGAUGGACGGCCACUCAGCAGAGCUUCACACCGCCGUCAUGGACCUGUCAAGCCUGGAACUCCGCCUCCUCAACUACCUGGGGCAGGAUUGGAAGGCCCACUAUGGUCUCCGUGGCGACCAGGACGAGAUCACCUUCAUUGUGUUCCACUCCCUGCGCGAUGAAGAUGAGGAGGUUAGGUUAGGGGAGGGUGGAGAAAGGAAGCGGGCAGAGCUGGACAUUGCGGUGCAUGUGAAGUACGAUGCGGGCCUGACUGAGGUGGCCAUCCAUUCUCCCUACUGGAUGGUGAAUAAGACUGGUCGCCUGCUACAAUACAAGGCCGACGACAUCCACCGCAAACACGCCAUGGACUAUGACAUGCCCCUGCUCUUCUCCUUCAAGCCACGCAACUUUCUGCACAACAACAAGGUGCGGCUGAUGAUCUCGGACAGCGAGCUGUCUGAUGAUUUCUCCCUGGAUACCGUGGGUAGCUAUGGUGAAGUGAAGUGCAAAGGGAGGCUCAAAGAUUACCUGAUUGGGGUGAAGAUUGACCCCAGCAGUUUCAGCCUGACCCGUAUCGUGAGCUUUGUGCCAUACUUCCUGUUGGUGAACAGGACCAAGCAUGUGAUCUGGGUGGGAGAGGAGGGCCAGGAACACUGGACCAAGGCCAAACCACACCAGGCAGCCAUCCCAUUCUGGCCCGAGAAGGACUCCAAGAAGCUCAAAAUCAAGGUAGAAGGCUGUCAGUCAACCCCUCAAACCAUGGACUUCACCAAACCAGAAAACUGCCUGUUGCUGCACCUAGACAACACUCUGGGCGGAGUCAUUGUGGACGUGAACCUAUCAGACCACUCGAUCAUUAUCCGUUUUUCGGACUACCACGAUGGAGCCGCCCCCUUCCUCAUCAUCAACCACACCCUGGAGCAGACGCUGGAGUUCUACCAGAGAUUGCGGAGAGACUCGUCAAAAUGCUUGGCAGACGAGCUGCUCGAACUCUCCUUCUCACUAGAGGAGACCCAGCGCAGCAGUCAGAAGGAGAAGGACAAGCUGAGCCCGGGGAAGGCGGUGUACUAUACCUGGGCUGAGCCCACCGGGUCACGCUCCCUGGCCUGGCAGUGUGGUAGCUACAGUGGCGAGCUGAAGAGUGAAGAGGACCUGCGGUUGGACGUGAAUGAGGAGGGUAAGCUGUACCUCAUCUCAUUCUACGAGGGCCUCCAGCGGGUGGCGCUGUUCACCGAGGACAGGCGGAUCUACAAGCUGCUGUGUGAGAGUGAGAAGGCCGAGCUGGCUGAACAGGAGAUCAUCCUCUCCCUGCAAGACGUGGGUGUCUCCCUAGUCAACAACAGCAACCACCAGGAGGUGUCCUUCAUUGGCAUUACCAGUUCAGACGUGGUGUGGGAGUUCAAGCCAAAGAAGAAGUCUCGCUGGAAACCCCUGAGUUUUAAAUAUGCAGCGCUGCUGGAGACCCACUUCAGAGAGUACACCGAGAGUGGAUCAGUGGACAACGCCAUCUUAGACCUGGAGAGCAACUUCCAGGUGUCUCUGACGCCAAAUAGGCAAGACAUGAGGAUGAUGAAGCCAUGUGAUGCUCCAAUCAGGAGGAACUUCCUUCCGGGGGUGAAGGUGGAGUACAGCGUAUCGGCCCGCCAGAGUGCCUACCGUGUCCAGAUCAACCGCAUACAGAUCCAGAAUCAGCUGCCUGGAGCAAUCUUUCCCUAUGUCUUCUACCCAAUAAAACUACCAAAGUCUGUCACCAUGGACUCAGAACCCAAACCUCUGACCGACAUCAGCAUUGUUACCAGGGCAGCCGGACACUCAGAUAUCUCCCGCAUCAAGUAUUUCAUGGUGCUGAUCCAGGAGAUGGACUUGAAGUUGGACCUGGGUUUCCUCUACGCCAUCUUGGAUCUGUUCACCCUGGAGAAUGCCAGCGUGAUGACAUCAGAGCAGAUGGUGGAGUUGUUUGAGAAGGACAUUAAGUAUCUGAAGACUGAGCUGAACAACAUCUCAGCCGCUGACACGUCCCCUAUCAGUCUCUAUGAGUACUUCCACAUCUCUCCCAUCAAGUUGCACCUGAGUUUGUCUUUGAGUUCUGGAGGAGAGGAUGGUAAUAAGGAGAAGAGGGAGACUGAGGUCAUCCCUGUCCAAUCCCUCAAUCUGCUGCUGAAGAGCAUCGGAGCAACCCUCACUGACGUGCAGGACGUCGUCUUCAAAUUGGCCUAUUUCGAGCUGACAUUCCAGUUUCGCACUCGCCAGCAACUACAAUGGGAGGUCAUCAGACACUACUCGAAGCAGGCGAUAAAGCAGAUGUAUGUGCUGGUAUUGGGCUUGGACGUGCUGGGAAACCCCUUUGGACUGAUCCGAGGUCUGUCUGAGGGAGUGGAGGCUUUCUUCUAUGAGCCCUAUCAGGGAGCUAUCCAGGGACCAGAGGAGUUUGUGGAGGGUAUGGCACUGGGGGUGAAGGCACUGGUUGGAGGAGCAGUGGGAGGCAUUGCGGGCGCUGCCUCCAGGAUAACAGGUGCCAUGGCGAAGGGUGUGGCUGCCAUGACGAUGGAUGAGGAAUACCAGCAGAAGAGACGAGAGGCUAUGAACAAGCAGCCCAGCGGCCUGAGAGAGGGCCUGACUCGUGGAGGCAAAGGACUGGUUUCUGGCUUCGUCAGUGGGAUCACAGGGAUUGUCACCAUGCCCAUUAGAGGUGCUCAGAAGGAGGGUGCGGCAGGCUUCUUUAAGGGUGUCGGGAAGGGGCUGGUGGGGGCUGUGGCCAGACCCACAGGAGGUAUCAUCGACAUGGCCAGCAGCACUUUCCAGGGCAUCAAGAGGGCAGCUGAGACGUCCCAGGAUGUGGAGAGUCUGCGUCCGCCUCGCUUCAUUCACGAGGACGGGGUCAUCCGACCAUAUAAGGAGAGAGAAGGCAUUGGCAGCCAGAUGCUACAGAAAAUUGAGAAUGGACAGUUCGCCAAGUACAGAUACUUUGCUCACGCCAAAGUAAACGAGUCAGAUUUCUUGAUGAUCACCAAAAGUGGAAUCUUUUUCGUGACCAAAGGCACAUUUGGGCAGCUUACCUGUGAGUGGCAGUAUCUGUUUGACGAGUUCACCAAGAAGCCCAUGAUCGUGGAGGGGAGGAGGCUUCGGAUAGAGGCAAAGGUAUCCUCAUCUGCCCAUUGUAGUGAUACACACACACAAAGUAAUACCCGAUACUACGUGAAUGAAACUCAUCUUAACCAAACUGCUUAUUAUAACCAUCUGAAUAAACCGCUCCCCAUUUGCAAAGGAGUAUCUCCCUCUAGCUGGAAAUGCCUGCGUAUGGAAUACCCCUUCACUCAUUUGCAUCCAAACAGUUUGUUCCUCUACAUUAUAUCAUAGUACGGCCCCCUAUUUCUCAGAAAUCAUGUGUUAUCUAAAAAAAAAACGAAUAAAAAAAAGACUUUCCUGUAUGUGUUUCAGGAGAGAGUAAAGUCUGUGUUUCAUGCCAAAGAGUGUGGGAAGAUUAUAAACUUCAAAAGUCCAGAAAUAGCCGAGUGGGUUCUUACCAAGCUGGAGGAUGCCAGGGAGAGUCUACACAAGUACUGACUGGUUACUCCAAUAGGGCCACCAACCAGCACUGAGACAUGGCAAAAGUACAACGUUGACUGAUAGUGUGUGUGUGUGUGCGCGCAAGGGUAGGGUGUGCCUCUGUCAGUAUACUACCUACUCACCCCCAGGUUAGACUUGCUCUUUCAUUCACACAGACACUCAUACACAGACACAGACACACACACACACACGGACUGUCUGGACAUCUUGCAGACACACAGGCUGCACUAGCUAACACUAUCACUGCUCCGGUUGUACACAGCCAUGUGGCAGAAAUAUCUCCUUGCACUUCCUUAAGCCAGUUUGGUCUGCCAGCGGUUGUAGAAGAGGCUGCGGGUGGGAGUAUUCGAAGGCAGUAAACUACUCGCUGAUGUUCUCUGUGUCGUUGGCACAGGUGAAGUGGGAGUAAACAGUCUCUCUGUCUAGGUUCUGCUCCUGGUACAUAUUCAGGAUGAACUCCCUGGUUGCUUUAGGGUCAUUCUGUGUGCGUUUCUCUAUCAGAAGGCAAGUCAUGUCAGGUUGCAGUCCGUGUGUCUGUAAAACAAUGUGUUUGUAUGUGUGUCAAUGUCACUGCUAUGAUUGUACACAAUUAUGUGCCAGAAAUGUCUCCCUUUCCUAAAUAUGUUUGUUUUUUAGAUUUUCUUUGAAGAAGUAGGUGCCUGAGGGACUUUCCUAAUGGAGCUCUGUCAUCACACUACAAUUUGUUUGACAGUUACUGAAUGACGUGCUUGUAAAGAUAUUGUGGCCAAAUCAUUGUGGAACUCAGAGCACUGUUUUUAACUGCCUUGAUGUGUCUAUGUUAAACAAUUAUCUUACUGUUGACAUAGGAGGGGGAAAAGCAUUUAAACUUUUUGUAAAAUCAGCUUGUUAGCAGAGUCCAGUCCAAGAUGCUAAUGAUUCUGUUCCAAGACUCACCCUAUUCCAUUCCACCUCUUCCUAAAUCACUGUUGUUUUUCUACACAAUUCUGCAUGCAUUUUUUUAUGUUAAUCUGCUCUACAUUAAUUUCAGUGGAGUGUGUGGAUGUGUAUACUGAGUGUACAAAACAUUAAGAACACCUGCUCUUUCCAUGACAUAGACUGACCAGGUGAAUCCAGGUGAAAUGUAUGAUCCCUUAUUGAUGUAACUUGUUAAAUCCACUUCAAUCAGUGUAGAUGAAGGGGAGGAGACAGAUUAAAUAAGGAUUUUUAAGCCUUGAGACAUUGAUUGUGUAUGUGUGCCAUUCAGAGGGUGAAAUGGCGUGACAAAAGAUUUAAGUGCCUUUGAACAGGGUAUGGUAGUCGGUGCCAUGCCAGGGUCAAGUGCAAGUGCUGGUAAAAUGUUCUGCGCAUGUUGGAUUUUUUUACGUAGCUGCUGUCCAUGCCGCAUGUUCCAACUACUGCAUUCCAACCCUCAGUAGGCUAUUAAGCAUGAUUUCUUGUUAUUUUAUCAGGAGGGGGGGUUAGGCUACAUGUAGCUAUUUACAUGUUAUAGCCUACACAAAAGACAUGAUCAACAUGGUCAUACAAAGUUGUUUUCUAUUUUUUCUUUACUGUGAGCGGACCAAGUAAUUGGGCGUCACUCUAAAGCGGGAAGGUGGAAUAAACGAGUCAGGAGUAGGUUUUCUUGAUUGAACACAGUUCUCUAUUGAGGGCAUUUGGUCAACACAAACACUCCAACAUAAUCAAUGAAAAUCUUCCAAGGAAAAACAUACAUCUUCUCCAGAUGAAACAGGAACACAAUAGGCUUAUCUUUAAACUACAACAAAAAGUCACGGGAUUGUCACCGUCUUAGUGGUUCUUCCUGGAUAGCUCUCUCUCUCGGUGGCCAUCUUCCAGAGAUAGUUUUCCCCCCUCCCUCUCUGCUGGUUCCAUUCUCUCUCUUAUAGGGGAAGGAGAGUAUGUCAUUAGUACCGUCAGCUGUGCUUAAUUGCCUCUGGUUACCUUGUCUCCCAUGCCUUGUUGGGCUACUAUCUAUGAGCCCAGCCUGCCCUCUGGUGGUCCUUCCACAUUACUUUUCACUCCCUUUUCUCCCCAAUCGGUAGUUAGUCUCGUCCCAUCGCUGCAACUCCCCUACAGACUCGGGAGAGGCGAAGGUCGAGAGCCAUGUGUCCUCCGAAACACGACCCUGCCAAGCCACACUGCUCGCUUAACCAUGAAGCCAGCCGCACCAAUGUGUCGGAGUAAACACGGCCAAGUGGCAACCAUGUCAGCGUGCAGGCACCCGGCCCGCCACAGGAGUUGCUAGAGCGCGAUGGGACAAAGACAUCCCAGCCGGCCAGACCCUUCCCUAACCCGGACAAUUGUGUGCCGCCUCAUGGUUCUCCAGGUCGGCUGCGACACAGCCCGGGAUCAAACCCAAAUCUGUAGUGACGCCUCUAGCACUGCGAUGCAGGGCUUUACACGGAGCCCAAACCGGCUGCGCGUGUGCGCCAUCGUGCAUAAUUGUAUUUUGUCCCCCUACACCAAACGCGAUCAUGACACAGGUUAAAAUAUCAAAACAAACUCUGAACCAAUGACACUUAUAUGGUGAUUGGCAUCUACACGUUCAUAGUAUUACCAUGACAACCGGCAAAACAUUUAGUCUUUCAAUCACCCACGUGGGUAUAACCAAUGAGGAGAUGGCACAGUUGUCGAGCUGCCGUGUCUAUCGGCGCCAUAUCAAGCACAAGCAAGACACGCAGUCUUAUUGGCGAUUUAAUGUUAUUUUUUAAAUCAGAAUUGCAAACCUUGGCUAAGCAGGAGUCAGACAGGCAGUCUAAGUAGUAGUUAUUUUUCAGCAACUGGGUUUGCUGUGCAGGGUUUUCCAAACUCUGUGCACGUUUUGGUUUUUGCCCUAACACUACACAGCUGAUUCAAAUAAUCAACUAAUCAUCAAGCUUUGAUCAUUUCAAUCAGCUGUGUAGUCCUGAGGACCAAGUUUGGAAGGUGCUGGCGCUAGUGGCAACGAUAUGGCAGCAACCACAUCACCAAAACGCAGAUCGUUUUUGCCCCAAGUCAAUGUGUAGGGACUGCGUCCUGCUUGUGUGACUGCAUUAUCCAUUACAACAGAUGGAGAAGCUUGUAGCCUUCAUAAUGGCCUUGAAUGUUUGUUCAAAUCGCUGAAGGGUUUUAGUUGCAGCUGUUCAGGAAUAUCCGGCUACAUCAUGGUUCAGAAGACGGUGUGUAAAGUGAGGGAGGUGGAGUGAGCAGCAGCUACGUAGAAAACAUGUGUGCGUAAAAUAACACAUGCACAGAAUGUGAUCUGGAGCUUUUGAGAAAUAGGUUUCCAGAGGGGUGGGGGCAGAAACUCUGGAUUCGCAGCCAGGUCCUUUAAAAUCUAUGGGUGGGCUUGUGUCUCCUCAUUGGCAAUUUUCAUGUUUUUUAUGCAGCAGGUAUGCAGUGCCAUUAACGACAAGAGAGAUUUUAAAAUAUAAAUACAGUACCAGUCAAAAGUUUGGACACAACUUUUUUUUACUAUUUUCUACAUUGUAGAAUAAUAGUGAAGACAUCAAAACUAUGAAAUAAUACAUACGGAAUCAUGUAGUAAACACUAAAUUGUUAAACAAAUCAAAAUAUAUUUUAUAUUUCAUAUUCUUCAAAGUAGCCAAUCCUUGCCUUGACAGCUUUGCUUGUUGUAGAAACAUCCCAAGGAUGAUCAAUGGAAAUAGGAUGCACCGGAGCUCAAUUUUGAGUCUCAUUGCAAAGGGUCUGAAUAGUUAUGUAAAUAUGGUAUCUGUUUUUUCUUUUUAAUACAUUUGCAAACAUUUGUAAAAACAUGUUUUUUUGUGGGGGUUUUUCAUUAUGGGGUAUUGUGUGUAGAUCAAUAACUUUUUUUUUUUACAAAUAAAUCUAUAUCUGUCACACUUCAACUCAACAAAAUGUGAAAAAAAAAUUCAAGGUGGUGUAGAUCUAUAGGCACUGUAUAUGUCUAUCCCCCAGUUCUGCUUGACAUUUUUUUUACUGACACGCACCAAUAAAGAUUUUACAUCAAAUACAAUUUUAUUUGGCACAGUUUAAGGCAGGUAUGAAAUGUUUAUGUGCUAGCUCCCUCAAGAAUGCAGUACAUUAAUAAAUAAAAGUCUACAUUUAA